UUUGGGUUUUAAAUGGAAGCAUUGUUUACUCUGGAAAAGAGGGGGUGGUUGGAGUUUUUGGUCCGCCGCCAGGAGGACCUUCUUCCUUCUCCUCCUCGCGACGCCGCCAUACUGGCCGCCGGUAGGCCUCCAGUGCCUCCCGCCACUACCGCCAGCGCCUUACGCCGCUACCUCCGGCGCCUCACACCGCCAGCAGGGACCAAAGGGAAGGUCUUUCUUCCUCCCUUCCGCGCCAUAUCGUGUGUAGACCCUAUAUCCAUGAGGUAUCAAAUUUCCUCAUUUUUUUACAAGACUCUAUGUGCAUGGCACCCGUGUCGAACCAUAUGAUGUGGAUGAUGUGGAGAUUGAAGACUUUGUGAAAAAGAAAUAUCAAAAGAGAGGUAGGACUCAGGAUGGCUACUUAUAACUCUUAGCAGUUGCUCUAAAGCCUAUGUACAAAUGUUACCAACCACAACCAUGUUGAAGAGGAGAACUAUAUCAAAAUACAAACUCUCUAAAUGGAACAACGGAAGCUUUUCUUCAUGCAAUUGCUAAUGAGAGACGCAUUCAGAAGUCAAACAAUUUAAUGUUUGUAUUCUCUGGUAUUUAUGUGGCACUAAACAUCAUCCUGGUUCGAUCUGCUGGAGCAAUUGGCUUAAUUGCUGCUAAUUCAUUAAUCCACGCUGAUGCUUUUAGCCACACAAGAGUGAAGGAAUACCCUCCGAGAUCAAAGUACUUUAAACUUUUGUUCUGAUUUAGAAAAAGGAUAUGCUGCUCAAAUUGCAAUCUAGUGCGCUGCAUGACAGCACAAAGAAUAUAGGCUUUUACUGCUCAAAUGAGGCAGUUUUACGUAAAAGGCCAUCAAGUUAAUGUAAAAGGCCAUCAGUUCACAGAGCCAUCACGAUUGAAGGAUUUCAAUAUGCAUACUUGGAGCUUUGGAUCUGAAUGUAAAAGGCCUUGAGAAACGAAUCUAAAAGGGAAAAUCUUUGAUUUAGGCAAAAUUUCUCUGCACUUAUAUUGCAAGAGAAUAUUUUAUUUGCAGAUGAGAAAGUUGGAAGCACUGUAAUAGAUUGUGGUGAAUUCUAUUAAUGGACAAAAAAAAAGUAUAAAAUUUGCAUGAUGCCUGAUGCCUGA